CCAACGACCAAAGCAAAGGACAGCAGAACUGACUGACACAGCUCAGAAAAUAUCCAAAGCUCUGUAUGCUCUGGAAAGGAAGACAAGAAAUGCUAAAGACUCUGGAUAUUGCUCUGUUUCUAUAAGGUCCCACCCAUAUACCAUCUCUUCUUUUGGAUUUCCUUUGGCAGCUAUACUUGGCCCCAAGGUUUCAACCUCACACUGAAGAAAGUGACAUAAGAAAACACAAGUCCCAGUGCUAUCAGGGGCUAUCUGGAAAAGCUGCUUAAACAGCAAGUGAAAGAAGGCUCUCCCCUACCCCGUUCUAGACGGAGUUCCACUCUUGUUGCCCAAACUGGAGUGCAAUGGCACAAUCUCGGCUCACGACAACCUCCGCCUCUCAGGUUCAAGUGAUUCUCCUGCCUCAGCCUCGCAAGUAGCUGGGAUUACAGACUCACCCUGAAGUUAUUUGAAGGAUCCUUGAGACUCUUUUGGAUUGCUGCUUGGAGAACAUUCCUGUAACUUGUCCCUGCUCCUUGAACUAUAAAAGCAGAAGGGAGGUACUGAGUUAAAACUUACAAAUUAUUAUCAAAUAAAUCUUCAAUAG
rnacentral:lncRNA from 10 species